AUCAGCUGACGAAUCCUAAAUAGGACGAAAUACCCAUCCUGUAU
rfam:Schistosoma haematobium scaffold858_10, whole genome shotgun sequence.